AAAAAACUACUGCAGGGGAUGAGCCCCGUGCUCCGGCUUCCCUCUUCCUCACCGGCCGCCGACACAAGCAGACGAGAGGCUACCCAGCGCCCCUCCACCCUCCGUCUCCUUAGCCCGGCACCCUAGCUCUCUCUCCUUGGCCAGUGGUGCCUACCGGGGCAAGCACCAACGCGGCUGGCGGCACAGGUGGAGGACCUCAACGCUAUUCUCUCCUCCCGAGGCGGCUGGUGGGGCGGAGGAGGCCUAGGCUCCUCCUCCCUCUCUCAAGGUGACACGGUAAUGGGAGGAGCCGACGUAGCCAUCUACCUCUUGAUGCUCCAUCUCUGGUGAUCUCUCUCUCUUGGCGGGCGACAAACAGGUCAGAGUUAGUUCGACCAGUGGAUGAGCUCCAUUAGGGGCACUCCGGCGGCCGCACAUCACUGCGCUAGAUUCCUCCCCAUUCCAAGGCCGGCGCUCUUCUCUCUGUGACCGUCGUGUCGCUGCCAUGCUUGAGCUCUUCCCUCUCUGAUCCCCUUUUCUCGGAGGGUGAUUGUCUGAAGACAAAUAGCAGAAGGAGGGUGGUGGCGGUGCAAAUUCCAAUCAGUACAGGUGUGGUAUGAUAGUCCAACGAGAACACGAGCUGAGAUGGUGUUCUCAAGAUUUGCAUGGGAACUGUUCAAUUGUUCCUGGACCCUUUCUCUUUAAUCGAUGGGCAGGGUUCAUCUGUUGGUUGGCCUUUGCUGGGUGAUAAUCCUCCACAGUAUCUGCAAAGUCAGAGCUCUUGGGUUCACUCUGAAAAUUUUACCGCUACAGAUGUAGAUGAAUGCUAUUGUGGGGCAAGCAUUAUCUCCAUAUGGUGCACUUGAAUAUAUUGAUCAAGAAACAAGAGCAAUGGAGGAUCCAUCUGAUUUUACAUGCAUUGUAAUAGUUGCUGCUUGCCAUUGGCUCUGGUAUUGGCACCCCAUUGCGCUGAGAGCGGCAUCACUGGCUCCUGCUGGGAGCAUUGCGCCAUCUACUGGUUUCUGGGCGUGGCAUAGUGACGGCAUUUCUCCCAAUCAUGAUGCAGGUAUAACAGUGUUACAAACUUCAUGGCUUCUUUGACUGUUAAUUUUCUUUAUGUAUACUGUUUCAAGCCCUUUUCAGGUAAUUUUUCAGUUGAGUAUAUGGUUCUGAAAUUUUGAAGUGAUUGAUUCUUAUUUUGUAGCUUUCAUCUUCAAGCCAUGAAUUUUGAUUACUGUAUCGGUAGCGAUGUGUUCUUAUGAAAUUGCAUAACCAAUUCAAAGUAAUAUAGACAUGGUUCUCCUUUGUAUAUCUUUUGUUUCAUAUGUUCCCCUCCUAGAUUGGUUGUUAGAUAUAUAUUCCCAAUACACAGAAGGCACGAUGUCAUGUUAUUCCUUGAAUUUUUAGUUUCCAACUUUCUUUGGAUAUACAACAAGAGUCAAGCUUGAAUUGUGGCACAUAAUAUACUCUUUUUGUUCACUUUUGGUGCUUACUCAGAUAGCGAAUCACCUGAAGCUCACUCAAGAAUUAGAGAUAAGAAAUGGCAAUAUGCAAGAUCUUCCGGCUGCUGUUUUGACUAUCUAGGCUAAAGACAACGCAACAAGUUUUCUUUUCCUGUAUGAAUUAUACUUAUUAUAUUGUGGUACUUAACUUGCAAAUAUUAUUUACCUUUUUCCUCAACGAGUGUGACCAGCACCACGCGGCGUACAAAAGAUGAAAAAAGGUGAGGAAAUAUCUGAAACUAGAAACAUAGUAUAUCAAGAGAUAGGUUUCUGUUUGUGACAACAUGAACAUCCUAUUUUUCUACUUCAGGUACAUAUACAUUCUAUGACCUCAAGUGUAAGAUACACGUAUGUUACUUUUAAUUAUUUUUUGUCUCUCUGUUCUAAUAAAUUGUUCUUUCUCUAAAUGACUUGCACUUCGACCAGCUGAGGCGAUUACCGUUAGUGUACUUUUUGUUCCAAUAAGAAUGUUUUUUAUUGGCACUGCAAGUAUGUAUGUUCUGAUUAUGUGUGAAAUCUAUGGCUUUCUUAAUUAAUCAUCUUCUCUGUAUAUUGAUGCUCUGUCUAUUUUUUAAAACAAUUGCGAUUUAAUCAGUCGAAGGGCUAUUGUUAGUGCUUCACUUAAAUAAUAUACUACUUUAGUGUAUGGAAACAAGUCGGGUACUUGCGGAUAAUGGAGGAAACUAGGGAAGCUGUGGGCAGGGAGUAAGGUAGACUGCAAUGAUGUGCCUUCUGAAUCCACUAAGCUUAUGCAUGAGUGGGAGCUACCAACAAAGCAUGCCCUACGUUUUGGGCAUGCAAUCUGGAAGGAGCACUGAAAAAAGACUAAUGAACUUGAUAAACCCUGGUGCUUGGGAAAUGGCGUUUCUUUGUGUCGGGCCCACUCUCUGUUGAAAGAAUGAAGUUUGUUGGUCCUUUUUGUGCUCAAGUUUUUCAUGCCCAGAAAGUUUAGAUGGCUUGCUCUGAAAUAUUGUACUGUUCUAUCUGUGUUUGCUUAUCUAAUUGCCGUUGCACUGCUCUAUUUUAUGUACUGGAUUAAGAUGGAAAAGCCAUAUAGUCGGCAGCAGUCAAUAAAUAAAAUAGGAGUAUAUCAAGGUCUACUCUUCCUAUUUUCUGUUUUUAUAAGGCUUUUUUUAUUAUUCCAGGGGGUUACUUUA